CGGACGGGUGAGUAACACGUGGAUAACCUACCUAUAAGACUGGGAUAACUUCGGGAAACCGGAGCUAAUACCGGAUAAUAUAUUGAACCGCAUGGUUCAAUAGUGAAAGACGGUUUUGCUGUCACUUAUAGAUGGAUCCGCGCCGCAUUAGCUAGUUGGUAAGGUAACGGCUUACAAAGGCAACGAUGCGUAGCCGACCUGAGAGGGUGAUCGGCCACACUGGAACUGAGACACGGUCCAG
rnacentral:rRNA from 1 species